rnacentral:rRNA from 1 species
GACGAACGCUGGCGGCGUGCUUAACACAUGCAAGUCGAACGGAAAGGCCCUGCUUUUGUGGGGUGCUCGAGUGGCGAACGGGUGAGUAACACGUGAGUAACCUGCCCUUGACUUUGGGAUAACUUCAGGAAACUGGGGCUAAUACCGGAUAGGAGCUCCUGCUGCAUGGUGGGGGUUGGAAAGUUUCGGCGGUUGGGGAUGGACUCGCGGCUUAUCAGCUUGUUGGUGGGGUAGUGGCUUACCAAGGCUUUGACGGGUAGCCGGCCUGAGAGGGUGACCGGCCACAUGGGGACUGGGAUACGGCCCAGACCCCUACGGGAGGCAGCAGGGGGAAAUAUGGCACAAUGGGCGGAAGCCUGAUGCGGCAACGCGGCGUGCGGGAUAACGGCCUUCGGGUUGUAAACCGCUUUCGCCGGUGACGAAGCGUGAGUGACGGUAAUGGGUAAAGAAGCACCGGCUAACUACGUG